rnacentral:lncRNA from 1 species
ACCCACUGACGAAGCUGUUGAGCUAGCAAAAGAUUGAAGUCCACUUUGAGAAGAUGGAACUUAGAUUUGUAGCCAAUUGGCUUUAGAUCAAGUGGGAGUUUGUUAGAUGUAUGCCUUAGAAGCAAGAUUAACUGAUACUUGUAAAAUACUUUUAGGGCAUAAUUUAUAAUUUGACUUUGAUAUUAAUAAAAUUAGAUUAUUUCUAUUCAUAUUAUGUUUAAAAGUAUCUAUGAAUCAUCCAUUGGGUUAAUGGAUAAGAUAACACAUAUUCUC